AUUGAACGCUGGCGGCAUGCCUUACACAUGCAAGUCGAACGGUAACGGGCCUUCGGGUGCCGACGAGUGGCGAACGGGUGAGUAAUACAUCGGAACGUGCCCGAUCGUGGGGGAUAACGAGGCGAAAGCUUUGCUAAUAUCGUAUACGAUCUACGGAUGAAAGCAGGGGAGCGCAAGGGCUUGUGCGGACGGAGCGGCCGAUGGCAGAGUAGGUUGUUGGUGGGAUAAAAGCUGACCAAGACGACGAUCUGUAGCUGGUCUGAGAGGAUGAUCGGCCACACUGGGACUGAGACACGGCCCAGACUCCUACGGGAGGCAGCAGUGGGGAAUGUUGGACAAUGGUCGCAAGCCUUGUCCAGCCAUGCCGCGUGCAAGAUGAAGGCCUUCGGGUUGUAAACUGCUUUUGUACGGAACGAAAAGCCUUCUUUUAAUACAGGAGGGUCAUGACGGUACCGUAAGAAUAAGCACCGGCUAACUACGUG
rnacentral:rRNA from 1 species